rnacentral:lncRNA from 1 species
UGCAUCAUAAUUUUUGACGCCAUAUUUCCUCAUACACAAAUAGUUUUUAUGUGAGAUUUUUUUACACCAAAGUGUUCUUUUCCUUCUCUAUCUCACAUCCAAAUUUGGGUAGGAUAUAAUUUCAUAUAGUAUGUUCAAAUCUGAUUUGAAAUAGGAUACCAUGUGGAUAAUGUUUGACAUUAUCUCUUAACCCUUGCCGC